ACUCUUGUAGCCCAGUGGGUAGAGCAUGGGACUAUUAAUCCCAGGGUUAUGGGUUUGAGCCCCACGUUGGGUU
rnacentral:tRNA from 1 species